AACGAACGCUGGCGGCAUGCCUAACACAUGCAAGUCGAACGAAGCCUUCGGGCUUAGCGGCGCACGGGUGCGUAACGCGUGGGAAUCUGCCCCUUGCUUCGGAAUAACAGUUAGAAAUGACUGCUAAUACCGGAUGAAGUCUUCGGACCAAAGAUUUAUCGGCAAGGGAUGAGCCCGCGUAGGAUUAGGUAGUUGGUGGGGUAAAGGCCUACCAAGCCGACGAUCCUUAGCUGGUCUGAGAGGAUGAUCAGCCACACUGGGACUGAGACACGGCCCAGACUCCUACGGGAAGCAGCAGUGGGGAAUAUUGGACAAUGGACGCAAGUCUGAUCCAGCAAUGCCGCGUGAGUGAUGAAGGCCUUAGGGUUGUAAAGCUCUUUUACCAGGGAUGAUAAUGACAGUACCUGGAGAAUAAGCUCCGGCUAACUCCGUG
rnacentral:rRNA from 1 species